AGAUUGAACGCUGGCGGCAUGCCUUACACAUGCAAGUCGAACGGUAGAGUAGCAAUACUUGAGAGUGGCGAACGGGUGAGUAAUAUAUCGGAACGUGCCCAGUCGUGGGGGAUAACGUAGAGAAAUUUACGCUAAUACCGCAUACGAUCUAAGGAUGAAAGCGGGGGACUCGCAAGAGCCUCGCGCGAUUGGAGCGGCUGAUAUCAGAUUAGGUUGUUGGUGAGGUAAAAGCUACACAAGCCGACGAUCUGUAGCGUGGUUGAGAGAACGACCAGCCACACGUGGACUGAGACACGGCCCAGUACCUCCGUACGGGAGGCGAG
rnacentral:rRNA from 1 species